GGUAGGGGGGCAAGCGUUGUCCGGAAUUAUUGGGCGUAAAGCGCGCGCAGGGCGGUCUCUUAAGUCCGAUGUGAAAGCCCACGGCUCAACCGUGGAGGGUCAUUGGAAACUGGGGGACUUGAGUGUAGGAGAGGAAAGUGGAAUUCCACGUGUAGCGGUGAAAUGCGUAGAUAUGUGGAGGAACACCAGUGGCGAAGGCGACUUUCUGGCCUACAACUGACGCUGAGGUGCGAAAGCGUGGGUAGCAAACAGGAUUAGAUACCCUGGUAGUCCACGCCGUAAACGAUGAGUGCUAGGUGUUAGGGGUUUCGAUGCCCUUAGUGCCGAAGUUAACACAUUAAGCACUCCGCCUGGGGAGUACGACCGCAAGGUUG
rnacentral:rRNA from 1 species